UACGUAGGUGACAAGCGUUGUCCGGAAUCACUGGGCGUAAAGGGCGCGUAGGCGGCUUUGUAAGUCGGGGGUGAAAGCCUGUGGCUCAACCACAGAAUUGCCUUCGAUACUGCAUGGCUUGAGACCGGAAGAGGUAAGUGGAACUGCGAGUGUAGAGGUGAAAUUCGUAGAUAUUCGCAAGAACACCAGUGGCGAAGGCGGCUUACUGGUCCGGUUCUGACGCUGAGGCGCGAAAGCGUGGGGAGCAAACAGG
rnacentral:rRNA from 1 species